GCUUGCUUUUCUGAUGACGAGUGGCGCACGGGUGCGUAACGCGUAUACAAUCUGCCUUCAAGCGGGGGAUAGCCCAUGGAAACGUGGAUUAAUACCCCAUAGUAUAUAGAGAUCACCUGGUUUCUAUAUUAAACAUUUAUGGCUUGAAGAUGAGUAUGCGUCCUAUUAGUUAGUUGGUAAGGUAACGGCUUACCAAGACCGCGAUAGGUAGGGGUCCUGAGAGGGAGAUCCCCCACACUGGUACUGAGACACGGACCAGACUCCUACGGGAGGCAGCAGUGAGGAAUAUUGGACAAUGGAGGCAACUCUGAUCCAGCCAUGCCGCGUGCAGGAAGACUGCCCUAUGGGUUGUAAACUGCUUUUAUACAGGAAGAAACCCCUCCACGUGUGGAGGUCUGACGGUACUGUAUGAAUAAGGAUCGGCUAACUCCGUGCCAGCAGCCGCGGUAAUACGGAGGAUCCAAGCGUUAUCCGGAAUCAUUGGGUUUAAAGGGUCCGUAGGCGGGAUAAUAAGUCAGUGGUGAAAGUCUGCCGCUUAACGGUAGAAUUGCCAUUGAUACUGUUGUUCUUGAAU
rnacentral:rRNA from 1 species